UACAGAGGUCUCAAGCGUUGUUCGGAUCCAUUGGGCGUAAAGGGCGCGUAGGCGGUCAGCACAAGUCAGUUGUGAAAUCUCCGGGCUUAACUCGGAAAGGUCAACUGAUACUGUGCGACUAGAGUGCGGAAGGGGCAACUGGAAUUCUCGGUGUAGCGGUGAAAUGCGUAGAUAUCGAGAGGAACACCUGCGGCGAAGGCGGGUUGCUGGGCCGACACUGACGCUGAUGCGCGAAAGCCAGGGGAGCGAACGGG
rnacentral:rRNA from 1 species